UUGAUUACGUCCCUGCCCUUUGUACACACCGCCCGUCACUGCCCGGGACUGAACCGUUUCGAGAAAAGCGGAGACUGCUGUUUUGAUACCUUUCGGGGUGGAGAUUCUUUGGUGGAAACCGCUUUAAUCGCAGUGGCUUGAACCGGGCAAAAGUCGUAACAAGGUUUCCGUAGGUGAACCUGCGGAAGGAUCAUUA
rnacentral:rRNA from 1 species